UACAGAGGGUGCAAGCGUUAUCCGGAUUUAUUGGGCGUAAAGCGUUUCGUAGGCGGAAUGGUAAGUUACUUUUCAAAGACCACGGCUCAACCGGGGGAAGGGAAGUAAUACUGCCAAACUUGAUUUUCGGUGGGGCUUCUGGAACUGAUGGUGUAGUAGUGAAAUACGUUGAUAUCAUCAGGAACUCCGAGGGCGAAGGCAGGAAGCUAACCGAUAAAUGACGCUGAGGAACGACAGCUAGGGGA
rnacentral:rRNA from 1 species